rnacentral:piRNA from 1 species
UAGUAUCGAUGGCGUCAUAGUUGUGA